GCCAGAGUAGUGUAGUGGUUUCAAUGCUGGACUGAAACUCUGGAGAUCAGGGUUCAAUUCUCCGCUCACUCA